rnacentral:rRNA from 1 species
ACAAGCAGCGGAGCGUGUGGUUUAAUUCGUUGCUACACGAAGAACCUUACCUGGGUUUGACAUAUAGGUUGUAGGGAACUGAAAAGGGACCGACCCUUCGGGGAGCCUAUACAGGUGUUGCAUGGCUGUCGUCAGCUCGUGUCGUGAGAUGUUCGGUUAAGUCCGCUAACGAGCGCAACCCUCGUCGUAUGUUAUAUGUGUCAUACGAGGCUGCCGGUAAAAAGCCGGAGGAAGGUGAGGAUGAUGUCAAGUCAGCAUGACCUUUAUAUCCAGGGCUACACACACGCUACAAUGGUCUGUACAAUGGGUAGCCAAGCCGCGAGGCGGAGCCAAUCCUGAAAGCAGGCCUCAGUUCAGAUUGCAGUCUGCAACUCGACUGCAUGAAGCCGGAGUUGCUAGUAACCGCAGGUCAGCAAUACUGCGGUGAAUACGUUCCCGGGUCUU